GUGUAAAGGCGAUAUUAACGGACGCCUAAAGGUCCUGCUCAGCGUCGACUAUAUAAACUGCACUCUGCCUUCAGAGAGUUCUCAGUGAACGCGGGUGUGCAGUAGCUUGCCGAGAAUACCAAGUAUUUAGACGAUUCAUCAAGACUGACUGGAGAGGGGAGUCUGCUGAGCUGUGAGUGACCUGUGGAUGAGCCUUUUUUAUUUUUUUUUUUCUUCCCUGCAAUUUAUUUUAUUAUUAUUUUUUUUUUUGCCCGUUCUUUUUAUUGUGUAAGUUUCCUUUGUUCUCUGAAAACCAAUAAAUGAGACUUUAAAACUGC